rnacentral:tRNA from 1 species
GGAUGUAGCUUAGUGGUGGAGUACCUGCCUUGCAAGCAUGAGGUCCUGGGUUUGAUUGCCAGUGCUGUGCA